rnacentral:lncRNA from 1 species
GUGGUGAUGCUGUUUACGACAACUGUGUUUACAACAAAUAUAGAUAACCCGUUAAAAUGACAAAACCCUUGAAUAAGGCUUGAAAGAUAGACGUAAAUUAAAUCAAAGGCCUUCGAGGCCGACUCACGGAUGAGAUCAUGAGAUCAAAUUAAUUAAAGGGGGAUAUGAUUUACAGCAGUUUUUGUGGCUAGCCCGUUUGCGGGCUAGCCAUUAUCACAUAGUACACAAACGCGAUGAGCGAUGAUGAUCAUGGUGUCCAGUCCGGAUUUUCGUAAAGUAUCGAGAGCAAUCGGAAGCGCCCGUAUUUUUCUGCCAACAUUUACAUUUGCAUUUCGAGGCAAUACUAGUGAUGUUGUUACGACGCAGUACUGGUGAGGUUGUUAAACCAGAAAAUUAAAAUAAAGUUUAUCUUCAUGGCUUCAACCUAUGGUGUCGAAACCGAUCAGAAAUUGUGCGUACUCGCCGUGUAAAUAUGGGUUUUGAUUUGCACUUUUUAC